AUUGAACGCUGGCGGCAGGCCUAACACAUGCAAGUCGGACGGUAGCACAGAGAGCUUGCUCUUGGGUGACGAGUGGCGGACAGGUGAGUAAUGUCUGGGGAUCUGCCCGAUAGAGGGGGAUAACCACUGGAAACGGUGGCUAAUACCGCAUAACGUCGCAAGACCAAAGAGGGGGACCUUCGGGCCUCUCACUAUCGGAUGAACCCAGAUGGGAUUAGCUAGUAGGCGGGGUAAUGGCCCACCUAGGCGACGAUCCCUAGCUGGUCUGAGAGGAUGACCAGCCACACUGGAACUGAGACACGGUCCAGACUCCUACGGGAGGCAGCAGUGGGGAAUAUUGCACAAUGGGCGCAAGCCUGAUGCAGCCAUGCCGCGUGUAUGAAGAAGGCCUUCGGGUUGUAAAGUACUUUCAGCGGGGAGGAAGGCGACGCGGUUAAUAACCGCGUCGAUUGACGUUACCCGCAGAAGAAGCACCGGCUAACUCCGUGCCAGCAGCCGCCGUAA
rnacentral:rRNA from 1 species